AGCACCCAUCCCUGAACCACAGCUGCAACUCUCUCUCCCCUCCCCCUCCUCUCCAAAGCUGGGGGGGGAGAACGAGGGAGCACCUAUCUCCAUGCCGCAAGGCCACAGCAAGGAAAAUAACAAAAAGGGCAGCUGUGACUCUUCCCCCUACCACCACCUCCCCAAAGCCGAGACAGGGGGAGGAGUGAAGGGCAGCUAUCCCUGAACAGACACAGCUCAGAGCAAAGCCGAAGAAACAAACAAACGAACAAAGGGGCAUCCCUUGUUCUGCCCCUGCAUUCCCAAAGCUGCCGGGGGGGGGGGGGAGUGAAGGAGCAAAGGAACUUCUCUGGCUCCCCCCUGCCGACCCGCAAAGGAGGGGGGAGGGAGCAAAGGAGCCAGCCUCGCAGCCAACAACAAAGGAACCUCUCCAGCUCCCCCCCACCGCCGUCCCGCAGCUGGGGGGAGUGAGAAAAGGAGCCAGCAAAACGAGACUAUCCAGCUCUUCACCCCCCACCUGCCAUCCUGCAGCCGGAGGGAGGGAGCGAAGGAGCUGCAGAAAGGAUAGGAGCUAUGGGCCGAGUGGCCGGCCUCCCCACACCACACAGCUGAAGGAGACGGAAGCUCAUGCUGGAGUGGCCUCUCGACGGCAGGCCUCACAUAGAGGCCAUGCGGUGUGGGCCACCCCAGCAGAAGAAAGGCGUGGUGGCAUGGGGCAAAUGGCAAUGCCAGGCCUGCAUCACCAAAAAGGAAAGAUCAAAUGUCCCGUGUAUAAUUCAUCCAGUCCUGCUCGCUUCAAAUGCUGGAAGCCCUAUGAUCUGUCCUGAAUAUUAAUGGAUCACUUGGCAGAAUGGAGAAUGCCUGUCAUGCCAACCGAUUUUCUCCAGUAAUGAGGAAAAACAAAGAAGAAUCAAGUGGAAAAGAUGGAAGAAUUGCAAACUUGGCAAUAAUUAUGACUAGACCUUUUGGAGGAAGCAGUGUGUUUAUUACACAGUGAAAACCGCUAUUGGAAGCAGUCCAAGAGUUCUUCAGCUCACAUGAAGAAAUAUUUCAUUUUCAGUUUCAACAGAAAAUAUUGAUGGGACUUACAAAUGUAAAUUGUUAAGUUUAGAAUGUGAAAUUAAAACAUUUGAGGACAGUUGAUACUAGCCAAAUAUUUUGGAACAGCCCUAUUUCUUAUGCUGUAUGCAUUUUCUCCUCAUAACCAAACCAAUUAUUUCAUACUUUUAAAAAUAAAAUCUGCGCUAAAUGAUUUUAGUUCUUUAUUUAAUGUUGCUUUUAAUACGGUAGAAUAAAGAAUAUGCUUAUCAGCAAUGAGAACCUUCUCAAAAUAGCAGGAACGGUUCGUGUAAUAUUGCAUUUUUUUUAAAAAAAAAAAACACCUGUUCCUUUCAAUGCUCAUUCAUUUUAACACAAGAAAAAGUUAUCCCAUGUUGAUUGUGUAUUGCUCCAGUUUAUAGUAAGUGUGUCAUGUAAAAUGUUUUGCAACAUUCUGAAUUUCUGUUUGGGCAUGUUAAUGCAAACUACUCCCUGAUGGCAAUAGACAAAUCCCAUACAAUGUAAUUCCAUAUUUGUACAUAUAUUCAGUAGAACAUACUUCCAAGUGAGAUAAAUUGCAGGAAACCUUUAUUAUUCAUGGAAAUGGUCAACAGCAAUAGCUGUCUUAAUAUUUCUUGACCCUCAAUGAUUUAGUACACUUCUGAUUGAUAAUUCCUAAGGAGACUGGUGAUCCAGUGGAAGGAGGGGAUUCAGGUCAAAAGUUUCAUAUUAGUGAUGUAUGACCCACCAGCUCUAUAAAAAGACCAAUAAUUCAGAGCAGAAUGGCAAACUUCAGUCAUUAGUUCAUAUUCUACAAUAACUGAACUAGUCUUAACUGUGGUGAUAAGGCAUCAAUUAAUUUGAUCUCAGUGAUGAAUACAGAGAUAGGAAUAUUGUUGUUAGUGUCAGUGUCAGACUCAACAUGCAUUUUGUAAUCAGCAACAGGUUUGAUGGUACUCUGAAGGAUCUGGAGAAAGUGACAGAACAACCUCCCUGUCAAUUCAGAUUCAUUGUGCUGACAACUUAAGUUGCAUCAUGGACCACAAGGAAACUAGGUAAAACCUCACAGAAGGAAGGAAAAUACAGGGAUUCUUUUCUACACUUGUUGAAACAGCAACUUACAACAAGAAGAAAAAGAAUCAGGCAUAUAUGCUCCCCAAAAUGAGUGGCAUUGCUGCUGAGUAAAUGAAGUAUUUUGAAUGCCUCAGAGAAUGAAGCAAAAACUGAUCACAUGGGACUGGCACUUGUACUGGCCCUCUCCACAUAAUAGAGGCAAAGCUAGGAUCCUUUUGCUUCAGUAGAAUGAUGAUCUCAUGUUCAUGUGGCUUGCUAGGAAAUGAAAGAGUGCCCUUGGGGCUGACCCAGGGCAUUUUCUCUCUCUUAGAAACUCUAUGGCUUGGGGUGGGAGGGUAUCUGGGCUGGCUUUCCAAAACAAUUGACUGAAAAUGACAACUCGGAGUAUUGUAUUGCCUUUCAGGAUUAGGUGUUUUUCUCUAGUGGUGGGCUGAGGAGAUGGUCAAGAGUUGAUACCAUUCCAUUGGCAUAGACCCACAUUAAUUUAUUUCCCCCACCUUAGCAAAUAUCUCUGGGUUCAGUUAUAAAUAGUUAGGUCAAUAAAAUUUCCCUAGUUUUAUCCACCUUCCAAGUCUGGCUUCUUCAUUUCUUGAUUUGCAUUCUAUUAAUAAAUUAUUCUGAUAGGCACCCCUGGUUAAGUCCCAACAGCUGCACAUAUGAUAUUGGAGAUAUGAGAUGUAUCCAUCAUCUGAUGAAGACAGGGAAAAAUUUUCCUUUGUAAUCAUUGGUGCAAUUGCCAUUUUCAUUGGUCAUUUAAUCUUUGUUGAAAUUUCUUAAUGAUAUUGUUCUUCCAAAAGCUGGGUAAUUCUUUUGGCUGUCAAAUUGAAAAAAGCACCAAUUGUCUGGAAAGAAAAAUUUAAUCCUUCCUUACUUUCUAGCUCUCAUGAAUUCUUUAACCUCUGAAAUGGUAGCUUAGACUCCCUCUAAAUUCUACCUUGCCUGGUCCUGAAACAAAUUUCCCAACAAUCAUUUUACUGUUGCUGGCAAGAUCUUUAAUGACUUCUUCAAAGUCAUUGAUAUGUUAAACCAUAAUGAUUUCAGUCAAUCCUGUCAAUGUGUACUUUGAAGACAUUUAUUCUUCACCAUCUCCAUCGGAAAUAGCUAUGCACUAAACCCGAAAUGAAAAUUUUGAUAAAAUGUAAUUACUAUGCUGAAAUUGUAGCUUAUGUCUGAAUUAAGCUUUACCAAAUGUUUUAAAAUAAACAGAUUGCCUGAUUAUUAUUUUCAUUCCAGUGAAAAGGUUUGGUCAAGUUUGAGAUAGGGCACAUUUUGAGCCAUAUUUUUCUUGUUCUUCUUUUGAAAUGUGUGGGAUGCUUGAAGAGGUGACCUUGCAAAGCCUUGAAGCAAUGUCUUCUUACUCCUGCUAAUGUCUAAAUGUAACUGUAAUUGGUUAAUAUCAUUGAUUUUUAUUUCUAUAUUUAUACAACUUUCCCUCCAGAGAGAAAAUAAAUAUAUAAUGCUGUAGAUUAUAUAUUACUCACCUAAAAGUGUACUUGGAUAUACCUGUAAUUCAGUUUAAAUUAAACAAGAUGGCCUAUCCAGAAAACAUGUAAACAGAGUUUAGUGGUGUGUGAUCUUCCGAAUAUUUUGAAAUCCAAUCCAUAUGACCUUUGGCUACACUAGUUGAGGUUGUUAGGAAUUCUGUUUUGGCAACAUCUGGAAUAUGUAUCCUAGAGGUACAGAGCUGUGCCAUUCUAUAAUUAGGAAUUAUACAUAAUGUAGAUUAAUUUGUGAGGUAUGACUGUAUUUCUGACUGUUUUACAGAUGUAACUGCUCCAAAAAUGGCUUCAAGUCAUCAGUAGCUCACAUAAGACCUGCAGAUAUGGUAAUGGCUUCCUAGAUGGAGUCUAUCCAGGAGUGAUUUUUCUUUCUACCAGCUUACUUCACUGUCCAACAUUUACAACCAGACAUAGAAAUCACACAACCAACAUAAUCAACAAUAACAAAAACUAUGCUUACUAUAUAUGAAGAAGUAUAUAUAUAUCACACACUCUCUGGAAAUAGGGCCAGGUGGAGAGAGAAAUUGUUCAGUAUAUGACUGUGUUGUACUGUAGAGGGCUGUCAAUGCAAUCCACAGUUUGCUAUGAUCAUGUUAUAGUGAUAUUAACAUUUUACUUUUUAGCAAAUAAAGCAGCAAUAUGA